AGACUGAGGGCGAAACAGCAGGCAGGACUGGGUGGAGACGUUCGGGGACGUGGCAACUGGAGUUUCUUCUCCGUAUAUUUCGGCAUUCAGUUCCUUUUUUUUUUUGUUUUAACUCAGGAAAAAAUCUCAAUUGCGUUUAGUAUUUUGAAAGCCACUUUAUUGCUUCCCGAGCCUCAGUCAUGUGUGGUGGGAGGCUGCUGUGGGUGGCACCUGGGGCGUCCACGGCCGCCAAGGCGGGAGGACGUCAGGCCCUGCUUGCUCCCACCCCUUCCAGGUGAGAGCUCCCGGGCACGCCCGUCGUUGGCUCUUCGUCCUCUUGGUGUUCUUCCCUGUUGCUUCAAAUCAGGUUCCUGUCUCAAAAAUCCGAAAAAGAAAUCCUCCCAAAUGACUCUGUGCCCGACGCUCCGUUAAGGCAUCGUGCUAGGCGUUCUCAAACUCGUGAAAUGACUACACUGCACAGGUUAACCUCAUUGCUACUCUUCCCCUUGCCUCCUAAUUCUCUGGUUAAACUUCCGCCCCCGAGGUUUCUAGAAAUCCCUGAGCUGGAAUGCGCUGCCUUCAUUAAGAGGGUGUUCUGCUUCCGUCUGCUCACAUUCAUCUAGUAAGCCCUCUCGUUAAAGAGGAGGCAGCACACCGAGGCCUGUCUAGAACUUCUUUCAUUUAACCAACAGUGAAUAUCUAAUCUACAAGAAACUGGAGCCGUGGCAGUUUAGGAGCCUGCCAAGGUUGCAUCCCUGGGAGCUUAUUUUCUAUUGUGGGAGACAGGAAAAGAACAAGUGAAUCAACUGUGAAAUUAAAUAAUUCAAACUUAAAGCUGUUGGAACUUUAAAUUAUUCUGAGCCUUGCGAAGAAUGUGGCGAUGGGGCCUGAGUCCCAUGGCAUACAGCUGCAAUGUCUGCCUUGUUUUUUCCUAUAAUCAGGAAGACCAAACAGAGACAGAGUUCUGGUUAAAUCACACAAGUCCCUGGCAUGAGACCAAGAAGUCACAGAGCCCAGGUCUUAGCCCUCAGAGUGUGAGAGAAGACAUGAAGGCAUCAGGGACACUGUGCGAGUGGGCACUGCUGCUUUCCACUGCUCUCCCUAGACUGCAGCCAGGAGGCUGCCUCUGCCCUGCCAGGCGCACACACCAAGAAAGGCCAUGUGGGCACACAGCAAGAUGGUGCCUGUCUGCAAACUAGGAAAAGAGCCCUCACCAGGAACUGAAACAGCUGGCACCUUGAUGUUGGACUUUCCAGCCUCCACAACUGUGAGAGUGAUCAUGGCUGUGCAUUCCUACUGGUAACAGUACAAGUCUUGACCAGGAUUAUUCUGAGGUCCUGGAAGAGAGGAAACCUCUUAAUUAUCCCCAGGAUCAUUCGAUUGACUUCUUUCUUUCAUGGGCACAAUGGACUAAUUCAUUUAGUUUGUGAGGGUGAAGCACUAGUCUGGUUGACCAGUUCUUCCCAACAGGUUUGGACUCUAACUAAAUCAGGGAUAGCCUGCACAGCCUCCUCUAACCAUCUGUUCUUUGGACCACACACAUCUCUACAGAUGUGACUCCUGAAGUCUACUAUGCUUUCAGUUCAUGUGCCCCUGGGCCACAGGUAUCAGGCUGAAACUAUUCACUAAGGUUUCCAGUUCCAGGAACCUUUGUAUUUAGUACCAUAAAAUAGGAGGAGGUUCCAAGAUGGCCAAAUAGGAACAGCUACAGUCUACAGCUCCCAGCAUGAGUGACGCAGAAGACGGGUGAUUUCUGCAUUUCCAACUGAGGUACUGGGUUCAUCUCACUGGGGCUUAUUGGACAGCGGAUGCAGCCCACGGAGUGUGAGCUGAAGCAGGGUGGGGCAUCACCUCACCCGGAAAGCGCAAGGGGUCGCAGAAUUCCCUUUCCUAGCCAAGGGAAGCCGUGACAAGGGAAACCUGGAAAAUCAGGACACUCCCACUCUAAUACUGCACUUUUCCAACAGUCUUAGCAAAUGGCACACCAGGAGAUUAUAUCCCGUGCCUGGCUCAGAGGGUCCCAAACCCACAGAGCCUCGCUCACUGCUAACACGGCAGUCUGAGAUUGAACUGCAAGGCAGCAGCGAGGCUGGGGAAGGGGCAUCUGCCAUUGCUGAGGCUUGAGUAGGUACACAAAGCGGCCAGGAAGGGCCAACUGGGUGGAGCCCACCACAGCUCAAGGAGGCCUGCCUGCCUCUGUAGACUCCACCUGUGGGGGCAGGGCAUAGCUGAACAAAAGGCAGCAGAAACUUCUGCAGACUUAAACGUCCCUGUCUGACAGCUUUGAAGAGAGUAGUGGUUCUCCCAGCAUGGAGUUUGAGAUCUGAGAACAGACAGACUGCCUCCUCAAGUGGGUCCCUGACCCCCAAGUAGCCUAACUGGGAGACACCUCCCAGUAGGGGCCAACUGACACUUAAUACAGCUGGGUGCCCCUCUGAGACAAAGCUUCCAGAGGAAUGAUCAGGCAGCAACAUCUGCCAUUCUGCAAUAUUUGCUGUUCUGCAGCCUCCGCUGCUGAUACCCAGGCAAACAGAGUCUGGAGUGGACCUCCAGCAAACUCCAACAGACCUGCAGUUGAGGGUCCUGACUGUUAGAAAGAAAACUAAUGAACAGAAAGGACAUCCACACCAAAACCCCAUCUGUACGUUACCAUCAUCAAAGACCAAAGGUAGAUAAAACCACAAAGAUAGGGAGAAACCAGAGCAGAAAAGCUGAAAAUUCUAAAAAUCAGAGCACCUCUUCUAUUCCAGAGGAACGUAGCUCCUCAUCAGUAACGGAACAAAGCUGGAUGGAGAAUGACUUUGACGAGUUGAGAGAAGAAGGCUUCAGACGAUCGGUAAUAACUAAUAGCUAAAGGUGGAUGUUUGAACCCAUCACAAAGAAGCUAAAAACCUUGAAAAAAGAUUAGAUGAAUGGCUAACUAGAAUAAACAGUAUAGAGAAGACCUUAAAUGACUUGAUGGAGCUGAAAACCAUGGCAAGAGAACUAUGUGAUGCAUGCACAAGCUUCAGUAGCUGAUUCGAUGAAAUGGAAGAAAGGUAAUCAGUGAUUGAAGAUCAAAUUAAUGAAAUGAAGUGAGAAGAGACGUUUAGAGAAAAAAAGAGUGAAAAGAAAUGAACAAAGCCUCCAAGAAAUAUGGGACUAUGUCAAAAGACCAAAUCUACAUCUGAUUGGUGUACCUGAAAGUGACGGGGAGGAUGGAACCAAGUUGGAAAACAGUCUUCAGGAUAUUAUCCAGGAGAACUUCCCCAACCUACCAAGGCAAGCCAACAUAGAAAUUCAGGAAAUUCAGAGAACGCCACAAAGAUACUCCUCGAGAAGAGCAAUCCCAAGACACAUAAUUGUCAGAUUCACCAAAGUGGAAAUGGAGGAAAAAUGUUAAGGGCAGCCAGAAAGGUCAGGUUACCCAUAAAGGGAAGCCCAUCAAACUAAUAGCUGAUCUCUUGGCAGAAACUCUACAAGCCAGAAGAGAGUGGGGGCCAAUAUUCAACAUUCUUAAAGAAAAGAAUUUUCAACCCAGAAUUUCAUAUCCAGCCAAACUAAGCUUCAUAAGUGAAGGAGAAAUAAAAUCCUUUAUAGACAAACAAAUGCUGAGAGGUUUUGUCACUACCAGGCCUGUCUUACAGAGCUCCCGAAGGAAGCACUAAACAUGAAAAGGAACAACCGGUACCAGCCACUGCAAAAACAUGCCAAAUUGUAAAGACCAUCAAUGCUAGGAAGAAACUGCAUCAACUAAUGAACAAAAUAACCAGCUAACGUCAUGACAGGAUCAAAUUCACACAUAACAAUAUUAACCUUAAAUGUAAAUGGGCUAAAUGCUCCAAUUAAAAGACACAGACUGGCAACUUGGAUAAAGAGUCAAGACCCAUCAGUGUGCUGUAUUCAGGAAACCCAUCUCACAUGCAAAGACACACAUAGGCUCAAAAUAAAGGGAUGGAGGAAGACCUACCAAGCAAAUGGAAAACAAGAAAAAGGCAGGGGUUGCAAUCCUAGUCUUCGAUAAAACAGACUUUAAACCAACAAAGAUCAAAAGAGACAAAGAAGGCCAUUACAUAAUGGUAAAGGGAUCAAGUCAACAAGAACUAACUAUCCUAAAUAUAUAUGCACCCAAUACAGAAGCAUCCAGAUUCAUAAAGCAAGUCCUUAGAGACCUACAAAGAGACUUAGACUCACAUACAAUAAUGAUGGGAGACUUUAACACCCCACUGUCAACAUUAGACAGAUCAACGAGACAGAAAGUUAACAAGGAUAUCCAGGAAUUGAACUCAUCUCUGCACCAAGCAGACCUAAUAGAUAUCUGCAGAACUCUCCACCCCAAAUCGACAGAAUAUACAUUCUUCUCAGCACCACAUUGCACUUAUUCCAAAAUUGACCACAUAGUUGGAAGUAAACCAUUCCUCAGCAAAUGUAAAAGAACAGAAAUUAUAACAAACUGUCCCUCAGACCACAGUGCAGUCAAACUAGAACUCAGAAUUUAAAAACUCACUCAAAACCGCUCAACUACAUGGAAACUGAACAACCUGCUCCUGAAUGACUAUUGGGUACAUAACGAAAUGAAGGCAGAGAUAAAGAUGUUCUCUGAAACCAAUGGGAACAAAGACACAAUAUACCAGAAUCUCUGGCACACAUUUAAAGCAGUGUGUAGAGGGAAAUUUAUAGCACUAAAUGCCCACAAGAGAAAGCAGGAAAGAUCUAAAAUUGACACCCUAACAUCACAAUUAAAAUAACUAGAGAAGCAAGAGCAAACACAUUCAAAAGCUAGCAGAAGGCAAGAAAUAACUAAGAUCAGAGCGGAACUGAAAGAGAUAGAGAUACGAAAGACCCUUCAAAAAAAUCAGUGAAUCCAGGAGCUGGUUUUUUAAAAAGAUCAAUAAAAUAGAUAGAUAGAUAGACCGCUCAGACUAAUAAAAAAGAACAGAGAAGAAUCAAAUAGAUGCAAUAAAAAAUGAUAAAGGGAAUAUCACAACUGAUCCUACAGAAAUACAAACUACCAUCAGAGAAUACUAUAAACACCUCUAUGAAAAUAAACUAGAAAAUCUAGAAGAAAUGGAUAAAUUCCUCAACACAUAUGCCCUCCCAAGACUAAACCAGGAAGAAGUUGAAUCCCUGAAUAGAGGAAUAACAGACUCUGAAAUUGAGGCAAUAAUUAAUAGCCUACCAACCAAAAAAAGUCCAGGACCAGAUGGAUUCACAGCCGAAUUCUACCAGAGGUACAAAGAGGAGCUGGUACAAUUCCUUCUGAAACUAUUCGAAUCAACAGAAAAAGAGGGAAUCCUCCCUAAUUCAUUUUAUGAGGCCAACAUCAUCCUGAUACCAAAGCCUGGCAGAGACGCAACAAAAAAGCAAAUUUUAGACCAAUAUCCCUGAUGAACAUCGACGCAAAAAUCCUCAAUAAAAUACUGGCAAACCGAAUCCAGCAGCACAUCAAAAAGCUUAUCCACCAUGAUCAAGUUGGCUUCAUCCCUGGGAUGCAAGGCUGGUUCAGCAUACACAAAUCAAUAAACAUAGUCCAUCAUAUAAACAGAACCAAAGACAAAAACCACAUGAUUAUCUCAAUAGACACAGAAAAGGCCUUUGACAAAAUUCAGCAGCCCUUCAUGCUAAAAAUUCUUAAUAAACUAGGUAUUGAUGGGACAUAUCUCAAAAUAAUAGCUAUCUAUGACAAACCCACAGCCAAUAUCAUACUGAAUGGACAAAAACUGGAAGCAUUCCCUUUGAAAACUGGCACAAGACAGGGAUGCCCUCUCUCACCACUCCUAUUCAGCAUAGUGUUGGAAGUUCUGGCCAGGGCAGUCAGGUAAGACAAAGAAAUAAAGGGUAUUAAGUUAGGAAAAGAGAAAGUCAAAUUGUGCCUGUUUGCAGAUGACAUGAUUGUAUAUUUAGAAAACCCCAUCAUCUCAGCCCAAAAUAUCCUUAAGCUGAUAAGCAACUUCAGCAAAGUCUCAGGAUACAAAAUCAAUGUGCAAAAAUCACAAGCAUUCCUAUACACCAAUACCAGACAAACAGAGAGCCAAAUCAUGAGUGAACUUCCCAUUCACAAUUGCUUCAAAGAGAAUAAAAUACCUAGGAAUCCAACUUACAAGGGAUGUGAAGGACCUCUUCAAGGAGAACUACAAACCACUGCUCAAUGAAAUAAAAGAGGACACAAAGAAAUGGAAGGACAUUCCAUGCUCAUGGAUAGGAAGAAUCAAUAUCAUGAAAAUGGCCAUACUGCCCAAGGUAAUUUAUAGAUUCAAUGCCAUCCCCAUCAAGCUACCAAUGACUUUCUUCACAGAAUUGGAAAAAACUACUUUAAAGUUCAUGUGGAAUCAAAAAAGAGCCCUCAGUGCCAACGCAAUCCUAAGCCAAAAGAACAAAGCUGGAAGCAUUACGCUACCGGACUGCAAACUAUACUACAAGGCUACAGUAACCAAAACAGCAUGGUACUGGUACCAAAACAGAGAUAUAGACCAAUGGAACAGAACAGAGCCCUCAGAAAUAAUACCACACAUCUACAACCAUCUGAUCUUUGACAAACCUGACAAAAACAAGAAAUGGGGAAAGGUUUCCCUAUUUAAUAAAUAGUGCUGGGAAAACUGGUUAGCCAUAUGUGGAAAGCUGUAACUGGAUCCCUUCCUUACACCUUAUACAAAAAUUAAUUCAAGAUGGAUUAAAAACUUAAAUGUUAGACCUAAAACCAUAAAAACCCUAGAAGAAAACCUAGGCAAUACCAUUCAGGACAUAGGCAUGGGCAAGGACUUCAUGUCGAAAACACCAAAAGCAAUGACAACAAAAGCCAAAAUUGACAAAUGGGAUCUAAUUAAACUAAAGAGCUUCUGCACAGCAAAAGAAACUACCAUCAGAGUGAACAGGCAACCUACAGAAUGGGAGAAAAUUUUUACAAUCUUCCCAUCUGACAAAGGGCUAAUAUCCAGAAUCUACAAAGAACUUAAAACAAAUUAACAAGAAAAAAAUCAAACAGCCCCAUCAAAAAGUGGGCAAAGGAUAUGAACGGACACUUCUCAAAAGAAGACAUUUAUGCAGUCAACAGACACAUGAAUAAUGCUCAUCAGCACUGGCCAUCAGAGAAAUGCAAAUCAAAACCACAAUGAGAUACCAUCUCACACCAGUUAGAAUGACGAUCAUUAAAAAGUCAGGAAACAAAAGGUGCUGGAGAGGAUGUGGAGAAAUAGGAACACUUUUACACUGCUGGUGGUUCUGUAAACUAGUUCAGCCAUUGUGGAAGACAGUGUGGUGAUUCCUUAAGGAUCUAGAACUAGAAAUACCAUUUGAUCCAGCCAUCCCAUUACUGGGUAUAUACCCAAAGGAUUAUAAAGCAUGCUGCUAUAAAGACACCUGCAUAUGUAUGUUUAUUUCAGCACUAUUCACAAUAGCAAAGCCUUGGAACCAACCCAAAUGUCCAUCAAUGAUAGACUGGAUUAAGAAAAUGUGGCACAUAUACACCAUGGAAUACUAUGCAGCCAUAAAAAAGGAUGAGUUCUUGUCCUUUGUAGGGACAUGGAUGAAGCUGGAAACCAUCAUUCUCAGCAAACUAUCACAAGGACAGAAAACCAAACACUGCAUGUUCUCACUCAUAGGUGGGAAUUGAACAAUGAGAACACUUGGACACAGGGUGGGGAACAUCACACACCGGGGCCUGUGGUGGGGUGGGGAGAGAGAGGAAGGAUAGCAUUAGGAGUUAUACCUAUUGUAAAUGACGAGUUAAUGGGUGCAGCACACCAACAUGGCACAUGUAUACAUAUGUAACAAAUGUGUACGUUGUGCACAUGUACCCUAGAACUUAAAGUAUAAUAAUAAUAAAAAAAGAUAUAUACCAAAAAAAAUAUGAAACAAAGUCUCCUAUGUUGCUUGUUGUAUAAUUGUGCUGCUUUUGGAAGAGAGGAGUAACAUCGAGGGGACUAUAAAUGCCCACUACUUUUCUUGAAUAAUUUUGGUCUUUGUAAAUAUCCUUCAGGAUAUAGUUUAUAUUCUAAGCACACACAGUAGUCUUCCUGAUCCUUAGUGUAUGUGUUCCAGGACCCCUAGUGGAGCCUGAAACCACAGAUAAUACCAAGCCGUGUAUAGACUGUUCCUGUACACAUAUACCUGUGAUAAAUUUUGUUAUAAAUUAGAUGCUGUAAGAGAUUAACAACAAUAACUCACAAUAAAAUAGAACAAUUAUAACAAUACUCUGGUGCACAAUUUAAAACUUAUAAAUUGGCCAGUUCUGGAAUUUCCCAUUUAAUAUUUUCAGACUGCCAUUGACUGAGAGUAACUGAAACUCUCAGUUGGAAAGUGAACCUGUGGAUAAGGGAGGACUACUUUAUGUCUAUUCCAUAAAGCAGUACCUAUGUAGAGUAAUGUAGACAAACAUCUUACCUAAACAUAAUUUUAACAAACUUACCAAUGAAUCAGAGUAUGCCCCUUUGAUGCACAAACCAGUCAUUCGUUUUGAUGACAAGUAUUUUUUUCUUCUUGACUUGCAAAUGACACUUGGUUUCCCCAGAAAAGAUCAGAACUUCACGCAGAGCCACUCUGCCUCACAUGUGUUUGGAAAGCAGAGAAAAGCCCUGUUUGACAAGUUUUACCACAUUACAGCUUCAAGCACUGUCUGUCUCAGCAAAGAAAAGCUCUGGAUGGGAGCCAGGAAGCCCCAGUAUUGAAGCUUCAGACCAGCUCACAUGUUGUUGCACAUGAAGGAUUCCAGUCUGUGGAAGGGAUUAUUAACUGGAGAAAAUAAAUUACAUUCUCUCUGUGGGUCACUGUUUAACAUUCAAGAUGGGGGUUCCAAUGGAUCUAUUGGGAGAUCAGGGUCCCCUCUGUUCUUUGCACAGCAACUGUGAUGUGUUGAGACACACAGACACAUUCCACAUCCAUAAUUCUGGACUGUGAAGCAGCUGUUCCUCCAGUCUCAGGGCUCUUUUUCAGGGUAGGGAAGGAGCCUGAGUGGCCUGCAUGGAGAGGCUGUGUGGAAUGGACAGCUAGCUGCAUUCCUUAGCUGGAAAAGAAUUCUUAAAAAUCAGGGGAAAAAGAUACCAAUAUUUUGUGAAGAACAAUUGUAGAAGGUGUCGCUCUAAAAUUUCUCUUUACUAUACUUUUAAGUGAUUUUAAAAGGCUGUCAUAAAUGAGGAGUUAUUGUUUAAUGGGUACGGAGUUUCAGUUUUGGGAAAUGAAAAAAAAGCUCUGGAGAUGGAUGGUGGUGAUGGUUACACAAUGAUGUGAAUAGACUCAGUGCCACUGAAUUAGACACUUAAAAUGGUUAAAGUAUGUUAUGUGCAUUUUACCACCAAUUUUUUAAAAAGCUUGUCACAGAAGCCUUCUCUGUGUAAGUAGAAUCUGGCAAUGUCAGAAACUAACAUAAUUAAAAAAUAAGCGGGGAGGAGCCAAGAUGGCCGAAUAGGAACAGCUCUGGUCUACAGCUCCCAGCGUGAGCGAGGCAGAAGACGGGUGAUUUCUGCAUUUCCAUCUGAGGUACCGGGUGCAUCUCACUAGGGAGUGCCAGACAGUGGGGGCAGGCCAGUGGGUGUGCGCACCAUGCGCGAGCUGAAGCAGGGCGGGGCAUUGCCUCACCUGGGAAGCACAAGGGGUCAGGGAGUUCCCUUUCCAAGUCAAAGAAAGGGGUGAAGGACACACCUGGAAAAUCGGGUCACUCCCACCCGAAUAUUGCUCUUUUCAGACCGGCUUAAAAAACGGCGCACCACGAGACUAUAUCCCACACCUGGCUCGGAGGGUCCUACGCCCACGGAAUCUCGCUGAUUGCUAGCACAGCAGUCUGAGAUCAAACUGCAAGGCGCCAGCGAGGCUGGGGGAGGGGCGCCCGCCAUUGCCCAGGCUUGCUUAGGUAAACAAAGCAGCCGGGAAGCUCGAACUGGGUGGAGCCCACCACAGCUCAAGGAGGCCUGCCUGCCUCUGUAGGCUCCA
rnacentral:lncRNA from 1 species